rnacentral:rRNA from 1 species
CGUGAGUAACCUGCCUUGGAGUGGGGAAUAACGGCUGGAAACAGCUGCUAAUACCGCAUAAUAUAUCUGUGUCGCAUGGCACUGGAUAUCAAAGAUUUAUCGCUCUGAGAUGGACUCGCGUCUGAUUAGCUGGUUGGCGGGGUAACGGCCCACCAAGGCGACGAUCAGUAGCCGGACUGAGAGGUUGGCCGGCCACAUUGGGACUGAGACACGGCCCAGACUCCUACGGGAGGCAGCAG